rnacentral:rRNA from 1 species
AUUGAACGCUAGCGGGAUGCCUACACAUGCAAGUCGAACGGCAGCGCGGACUUCGGUCUGGCGGCGAGUGGCGAACGGGUGAGUAAUGUAUCGGAACGUGCCCAGUAGCGGGGGAUAACUACUCGAAAGAGUAGCUAAUACCGCAUACGCCCUACGGGGGAAAGGGGGGGAUCGCAAGACCUCUCACUAUUGGAGCGGCCGAUAUCGGAUUAGCUAGUUGGUGAGGUAAAGGCUCACCAAGGCGACGAUCCGUAGCUGGUUUGAGAGGACGACCAGCCACACUGGGACUGGGACACGGCCCAGACUCCUCCGGGAGGCAGCAGUGGGGAAUUUUGGACAAUGGGGGCAACCCUGAUCCAGCCAUUCCGCGUGUGCGAUGAAGGCCUUCGGGUUGUAAAGCACUUUUGGCAGGAAAGAAAUCGCACGGAUUAAUACUCUGUGUGGAUGACGGUACCUGCAGAAUAAGCACCGGCUAACUACGUGCCAGCAGCCGCCGCCG